rnacentral:rRNA from 1 species
CCUACGGGAGGCAGCAGUGGGGAAUAUUGCACAAUGGGGGAAACCCUGAUGCAGCAACGCCGCGUGAGUGAUGACGGCCUUCGGGUUGUAAAGCUCUGUCUUCAGGGACGAUAAUGACGGUACCUGAGGAGGAAGCCACGGCUAACUACGUGCCAGCAGCCGCGGUAAUACGUAGGUGGCGAGCGUUGUCCGGAUUUACUGGGCGUAAAGGGAGCGUAGGCGGACUUUUAAGUGAGAUGUGAAAUACUCGGGCUCAACUUGAGUGCUGCAUUUCAAACUGGAAGUCUAGAGUGCAGGAGAGGAGAAUGGAAUUCCUAGUGUAGCGGUGAAAUGCGUAGAGAUUAGGAAGAACACCAGUGGCGAAGGCAGCGUGCCGUGCCGCCACUGACGCUGAGGCACGAAAGCGCGGGGAUCGAACAGGAUUAGAUACCCGAGUAGUC